CCCGAUGCUGAGGCGGUGCCCGAUGCGGUGCCAGAGACGGUUCCCGAUGUAAUGCCCGAGACCGAGGCUGUUCCGGAGGUCGAGGCGGUGCCCGAUGUUGUUCCAGAGACCGAGGUGGUGCCCGAGUUGCUUCCAGAGACCGAGGCGGUGCCCGAUGCGCAGGCCGAGAUCGUUCCCGAGGCGGUGGCCGAUGCGCAGGCCGAGGUCGUUCCUGAGGUGGUGCCCGAUGCAGAGGUCGUUCCCGAGGCGGUGCCCUUGUCCAAGGCCGUUCCCGAGGCCGUGCCCGAGGCCGUUCCCGAGGCGGGGGCCUUGUCCAAUGCCGUUCCUGAGGCCGUUCCUGAGGCCGUUCCUGAGACCGUUCCCGAGGCGGUGUCCUGGUCCGAUGCCGUUCCUGAGGCCGUUCCUGAGGCCAUUCCAGAGGCGGUGGCCGAUGCUGUUCCGGAGGCCGAUGCGGGGCCCAAGAUGGCUCCGGAGGCGAUACCCGUGUCCAAGGCCGUUCCCGAGGCGGUGUCCUUGUCUGAGGUCGUUCCUGAUGCCGUUCCCAAUGCCGUGACCGGGCCAUCGCCACAGCCUGCUCCUUACUGGCUCCCCGAUUGGCAGGUUCCGUUCGGGCCACUCAAAUGGCGAAUUCCUCCCUGGCCGUCUGCACAACGAGAAUGGACUGAUCCACCGUGGCCACCUGAACUGCCUGGUCCCUCGUGGUCCCCUGAACUUUCGGGUCCACCGUGGCCACCUGAACUGCCUGGUCCCUCGUGGUCCCCUGAACUUUCGGGUCCACCGUGGCCACCUGAACUGCCUGGUCCCUCGUGGUCCCCUGAACUUUCGGGUCCACCGUGGCCCCCUGAACUGCCUGGUCCCUCGUGGUCCCCUGAACUUUCGGGUCCACCAUGGCCCCCUGAUCUGACCAAGCCACCUGGGCUACCAGGGGAGCCAUCGCUGCCGGUCCCAGUUCCCCUACACGGGCCUGGCCCGCCAUCCCUCCCCCUGUUCUGCCUCCACCAGUCCACCUCCCUCCUGGUCUCUUUGUUUUGUGUUUAUUUGGUU
ensembl:lncRNA